GGUACAUAUAGCUUCGUAGUUGGAAAACAAGUGCAUCCUUAUAACUUGGAAAAGAGGCUCAUUAACUGAAAAAAAGAGUUGGAAACAGGCUGAGACAAGGUCUGAACACAUAGGCAGCAACUGUAGGAGGAUUCCUAAAGCCAAGUCCAGGGGCAAAAAAGCUUUUUAAUAUUGUUGUUGUUGAUGUGUAGCAAUAGAAAAACAGCCUUACAUUUUCUCACUAGCUUUCUAACCCUUGCGAUUCAUGUGCUUGCUUCGUAAUUUUGGUUUUAUUCUUUUGUAAUUCACUUGAAAGUGCGCUAUGUUUAUGUCAUGUGAAAU
rnacentral:lncRNA from 1 species